rnacentral:rRNA from 1 species
AGAGUUUGAUCCUGGCUCAGGAUGAACGCUAGCGGCAGGCUUAACACAUGCAAGUCGAAGGGCAGCGAGGGGAGUGCUUGCACUCCCUGUCGGCGACUGGCGCACGGGUGAGUAACACGUAUGCAACCUGCCCUCCACAGGGGGACAACCUUCCGAAAGGGAGGCUAAUCCCGCGUAAAUCCCCCGGAGGCAUCUCCGGGGGAGGAAAACUCCGGUGGUGGAGGAUGGGCAUGCGGCGCAUUAGGCAGUCGGCGGGGUAACGGCCCACCGAACCGACGAUGCGUAGGGGUUCUGAGAGGAAGGUCCCCCACACUGGUACUGAGACACGGACCAGACUCCUACGGGAGGCAGCAGUGAGGAAUAUUGGUCAAUGGACGCGAGUCUGAACCAGCCAAGCCGCGUGAAGGAUUAAGGCCCUACGGGUCGUAAACUUCUUUUGCCAGGGAACAAAAGUGGGGACGUGUCCCCAUCUGCGUGUACCUGAAGAAAAAGCAUCGGCUAACUCCGUGCCAGCAGCCGCGGUAAUACGGAGGAUGCGAGCGUUAUCCGGAUUUAUUGGGUUUAAAGGGUGCGCAGGCGGUCUGUUAAGUCAGCGGUAAAAUUGCGGGGCUCAACCCCGUACAGCCGUUGAAACUGCCGGGCUCGAGUGGGCGAGAAGUAUGCGGAAUGCGUGGUGUAGCGGUGAAAUGCAUAGAUAUCACGCAGAACCCCGAUUGCGAAGGCAGCAUACCGGCGCCCGACUGACGCUGAGGCACGAAAGUGCGGGGAUCAAACAGGAUUAGAUACCCUGGUAGUCCGCACAGUAAACGAUGAAUGCUAGCUGUCCGGGGGGAUUGACCCCUGGGUGGCACAGCGAAAGCGUUAAGCAUUCCACCUGGGGAGUACGCCGGCAACGGUGAAACUCAAAGGAAUUGACGGGGGCCCGCACAAGCGGAGGAACAUGUGGUUUAAUUCGAUGAUACGCGAGGAACCUUACCCGGGCUCAAACGCCGAAGGGACAUUCCCCGAAAGGGGAUUGGCCAGCAAUGGUCUUCGGCGAGGUGCUGCAUGGUUGUCGUCAGCUCGUGCCGUGAGGUGUCGGCUUAAGUGCCAUAACGAGCGCAACCCCCACCGACAGUUGCUAACUGGUCAAGCAGAGGACUCUGUCGGGACUGCCGGCGCAAGCUGCGAGGAAGGCGGGGAUGACGUCAAAUCAGCACGGCCCUUACGUCCGGGGCGACACACGUGUUACAAUGGCAGGUACAGCGGGAUGCCAUGGGGCGACCCAGAGCGGAACCCGAAAACCUGUCUCAGUUCGGAUUGGAGUCUGCAACUCGACUCCAUGAAGCUGGAUUCGCUAGUAAUCGCGCAUCAGCCAUGGCGCGGUGAAUACGUUCCCGGGCCUUGCACUCACCGCCCGUCAAG